AUGUCAUAUCUCGUCGCCGAUGAGAUACGGGAUCGCCGCCGACGACCUUCCUCAAUCUUUUGUCUAGGGUUCCCCGCCUCCGUCGCCGCCGCCGACGGCUCCAUCGCGGAACCUCACGGCAGGGCAGGUCUCCAAGAAGCUCGUGCUUGUGUGGAGUCGCCGCACUCCGCACACCGCUACCGUAGCGGAUGCCCAGGGCCGCCGCCGCCGCUGAACCCCAUGGACGAAGCCGUCCCACGAACGGCCGAUGCAGGCACCACAACAGCAGCUCGUUACCGAAAUAUCAGGGGCGCAGAUGAUGUACAGGAUCAUCUCGUCCAUGCCAUGGAACAAAGCCACCUGCUUGACAAGCUCCAAACAGAGGAGUACAAGGAACAAAGGAGCAGGACUUGGAGAAGAAGGGAUCUAAAAAUCGAAAAGGCACUGGACUUGGAGAAAGAGAGAGCGCCGUGA
rnacentral:rRNA from 1 species